rnacentral:rRNA from 1 species
GACGAACGCUGGCGGCGUGCUUAACACAUGCAAGUCGAACGGAAAGGCCCUGCUUUUGUGGGGUGCUCGAGUGGCGAACGGGUGAGUAACACGGGAGUAACCUGCCCUGUACUUUGGGAUAACUUCAGGAAACUGGUGCUAAUACCGGAUAGGAGCGCCUGCUGCAUGGUGGGGGUUGGAACGUUUCGGCGGUUGGGGAUGGACUGGGGGGUUAUCAGCUUGUUGGUGGGGUAGUGGCUUACCAAGGCUUUGACGGGUCGCCGGCCUGAGAGGGUGACCGGCCACAUUGGGACUGAGAUACGGCCCAGACUCCUACGGGAGGCAGAAGUGGGGAAUAUUGCACAAUGGGCGGAAGCCUGAUGCAGCAACGCCGCGUGCGGGAUGACGGCCUUCGGGUUGUAAACCGCUUUCGCCUGUGACGAAGCGUGAGUGACGGUAAUGGGUAAAGAAGCACCGGCUAACUACGUG